CAGGUAUGAGCCACCAUGCCUGGCUGCUCCUAUUGUUUUCAGUUCAUGAGCUCUUCAAGAUUGGGCCUUGCCCUUUGUAUUUUCAUUUCUGGAGCCUGGAAUAUCACUCAGCACAAAGUAUAUACUCAAUAAAGGUUUUCCUGGCCAGAAAAACAUCUUGUGUUUGUGUAUUUAUUCACUUAUGGAAUACCCAUUACGUGCCAAGAACUGUUUGGGUACAGAGAACAGGCUAUAAGAUACUCUGAGCCCUCCAAGAGCUCACAGGCCGGUGGCCGGGGGGAGGAAGA
rnacentral:lncRNA from 1 species